rnacentral:rRNA from 1 species
AGAGUUUGAUCCUGGCUCAGAUUGAACGCUGGCGGCAUGCCUUACACAUGCAAGUCGAACGGCAGCGCGGGGCAACCUGGCGGCGAGUGGCGAACGGGUGAGUAAUAUAUCGGAACGUACCCUGGAGUGGGGGAUAACGUAGCGAAAGUUACGCUAAUACCGCAUACGAUCUAAGGAUGAAAGUGGGGGAUCGCAAGACCUCAUGCUCCUGGAGCGGCCGAUAUCUGAUUAGCUAGUUGGCGGGGUAAAAGCCCACCAAGGCAACGAUCAGUAGCUGGUCUGAGAGGACGACCAGCCACACUGGAACUGAGACACGGUCCAGACUCCUACGGGAGGCAGCAGUGGGGAAUUUUGGACAAUGGGCGCAAGCCUGAUCCAGCAAUGCCGCGUGAGUGAAGAAGGCCUUCGGGUUGUAAAGCUCUUUUGUCAGGGAAGAAACGGUGGGGGCU